rnacentral:rRNA from 1 species
UACGAGGGGGGCGAGCGUUGUUCGGAAUUAUUGGGCGUAAAGGGUGCGUAGGCGGUUCCGCAAGUCCUGUGUGAAAUCUUCGGGCUCAACUCGAAGUCUGCACGGGAAACUGCGGGGCUUGAGUGUGGGAGAGGUGAGUGGAAUUUCCGGUGUAGCGGUGAAAUGCGUAGAUAUCGGAAGGAACACCUGUGGCGAAAGCGGCUCACUGGACCAUUACUGACGCUGAUGCACGAAAGCUAGGGGAGCAAACAGG